rnacentral:rRNA from 1 species
UACGUAGGGUGCGAGCGUUGUCCGGAAUUAUUGGGCGUAAAGAGCUUGUAGGCGGUUUGUCGCGUCUGCUGUGAAAAUCCGGGGCUCAACCCCGGACUUGUAGUGGGUACGGGCAGACUAGAGUGUGGUAGGGGAGACUGGAAUUCCUGGUGUAGCGGUGGAAUGCGCAGAUAUCAGGAGGAACACCGAUGGCGAAGGCAGGUCUCUGGGCCACUACUGACGCUGAGAAGCGAAAGCAUGGGGAGCGAACAGG